UAGGUAUGGCUAUGAAACAUUGUUAAAAAGA
rnacentral:piRNA from 1 species